UACGAAGGGGGCUAGCGUUGCUCGGAAUCACUGGGCGUAAAGCGCACGUAGGCGGCUUGCUAAGUCAGGGGUGAAAUCCUGGAGCUCAACUCCAGAACUGCCUUUGAUACUGGCGAGCUUGAGUCCGGGAGAGGCGAGUGGAACUCCUGGUGUAGCGGUGGAAUGCGCAGAUAUCAGGAAGAACACCAACGGCGAAGGCAGCUCGCUGGGACGGUACUGACGCUGAGACGCGAAAGCGUGGGGAGCGAACAGG
rnacentral:rRNA from 1 species